rnacentral:lncRNA from 1 species
CUAAGGGGCCGUUCCCCCAGAAGCCCCCAGGGCUCCGGGUCUGUCCCCGUGGGCCAGCGCCUGAGCCCCUUGGUUGAGAACUGGAACGCCCUCCGGGCCAUAAUCAUCUGUCCUCGGUCUGCUUCUUUCACCAGAGCAGGAGCCUUCAGGACGGUUUCAUUUAUCUCUGUGUCCCCACUGCUAGCGCGGGGCAUGCGACGGCACACAGCUCUGUAAGAAACAGAAGCAGUGUCACCGUGAAAAUAUCCUUUGCAUACCAAGGUCACCCGGAGCACGGCCCAGACUGACACAGACCGAGGGAGCGAGUGUGCCCCGAGCGAACACAGACAACAUUUCCAAAGGCUCAGGCACGGCAUGGCCCCUUCCUCCCUGGUCAGUCACACAGACUCCAUGGCUAAGAAGCCCCAGACCAGCUUGUGGGCGCACUGAGCAUUGCGGGACACAUCUGCCACCAUCUCCACACUGUCAGGGUCCCUGGGUGUUCGCGCAUUGCGGGGGGUUGUGUGUUAGAACGACCCGAGAGCUCUAGCCAGAUGUGUACUGACCCAGAAGGGCCGAGCUGCCUGUACCUCCGGGACAGAGACCAGCCAUCCGGAUUCGACUUUGCACGUGAGUUGGGCUUGGGUCACAAGGAGCAGGGGAGCAGCUCAGGAUGCUCAGUUU